AGGAUUACAUAAGAUGAUGCAUAGAAAACAAGUUCUGUGACCAGAGAAUAAGUAUCUUAAAAGAGUGUCUUUGCUUCUUUCUGAUCAUUCUUUGGUCCACCCACCUACCGAUCCCAUUCCGAUUGCCAUUUAGACAAAUGUACAUGUCAGUUAGCCUCUCUAUCUGUCUCUUCAACCUACCUUACCUAUCCAAUCCAUCCACCCAUCCAUCCAUCCUCUAUUACCUAUCUCAUUUACUCACCUUUUCUUGCUUUCUACUCCUCUUUUCUGUCUUUUGUUAUGCGUAAUCAUUUUCUACCUUGCCAUCAGCCAUACCACUACCACUGUCUCCACUUUCUUUCCCACACAGGAAAGUCAAAGCAUUUUCAUCAAGGCACUUGGGAAAAAGUGUUCCGAACAGUUGAGCCUGCAGGCGUUGGAUGCUAUUGUCUUCCUACUAUGAGUCUGGCUUCAUCGUCUACCACUUUCCUCUUCCUCGAAGAUGACUGGUGCUUCUCAGAGCUGACCUUUCCAGACCCUUCCAACAUGUUGUAGGAGUCCUCUGGCCCAGUGAGAUGGGCACUGCUCUCUGUCCAAUGCAGCAGGGACAUCUGCAGCCACCUUGGCCACACGCACCAAUACUGAUGCUUGUAGGUUCUCUUGAAUAGACUGCUGACAUUCCCGUGUGGUUCACAUUUACCUGGGGUGCACCUGAGUUCUUGUUACUGUCUAGAAGUCGGGCUGUGAAGACCUCCAAAGUCAUGAAUUGGCACUGCCUGUGUUGAUCUUCAGUCUCACAACUCCAUCAGCCAGAAUCAACUCAAACAAUUAUUUUUAUUAUGUGUGUUGUAGAACUGCCCUGAACUACGGGCCUGUGAAGAACAUCUGAGGCUAGAUGCUGGGGAGCUGCAGAGCAGCUGCCCACGUGGGCUGCACUUAGGAGCUCUGUCUCCAGCUGUGUCUGGGAUUGUGUGACUUCAGCAGCUCCCAUGGAGGGGAAACUCGCCAGCCUCCUGCCUGAUGUCUAACAGACAGCAAAUGAGUGCAGGGCCUCUGGGAAGAGACUUGCCUGAAUUCCUGCCAAGGAAGCUGCAGAAUGGAAAGUGGGGUAUGAAUAUGUAACAGCAGCCACUGUCAGUUGAUCCCUCUGUCUUUGGGAGGCAUCAUUUCAUUCGCUGUGGAAGAACAGAGGGCACUUUGAAAUGGCCUGAGAUAGGCCUCUUUAGCGAUACAGUUUAAUCCGAUCAUAGAGCAUCUGUCUUGGAUGACAUCGUCUUCAGUGCUGAUUCAGGAGUUUUCAACAAAUUCAAAUGUCCUUCCCUUGCCCAGGAAGGAAGAUGGGGAAAGAUUGCAAGAAAGCCAGAAGCCCUGCAUGGUGUUGUACAUUUAUUAUCCAGCCCUUCAAGCACUCUGAAAAAAUAAUGUCCCCAAUGUUGUCCAGCGGGCCACAGGUUAUAAAAUAUAUGAAAGCAGAAGCCAUCCUGCCAUGGUACCCAGAAGAAAGUAUCCUGGUCAUCGUGGAAGGAAUGAGUGAAGGACAAUGUGAUUCUGCAGCAGUCAUUUUAGCUCUUUUAGAUUUCACCCCAAAGCAGAGGCAGAGGAAGGUAAUGGGUUGGUGUAAAUACUAUUUAGAGCACUUUUCAUCUCUUGGCAGUUUUGGAUAGAACAACCUUAAACGAAAAGAGCAAAAUAAUCAAGGAUGAGGAAAAAUGAUUGUCCAGGAUACACAGACACAUGAGUCUUGUCAACCUCAAGAGAUCAUUGAGAAAACCAAAUGAUUCAAGACAUGGCUAUUUUUCCAGACUGGGAUGGAAGAGAAAACAAACGUACCACAUGCACCAUGAUACCAGCAACAGCAGAGAGCACAAACAUCUUAUGGAUGCAGCAAAUGAGGCUGGGUGGUGAGGCCCAGGCAAGCCGGAAGGUUGGACACCCACACUUUACAGUAACAUCAACCAAGCAUUGCCAGAGGCUCUCCUGGAAUCCCCCUACAGGGGUUUCUGCUUCUGUGAUUGUCAGGACUCUGUCACAUGGCCAUCUAACUGCAAGUGAAGAUAAGAAAACUCAGGGAAAGUGCUUGGCUGGAUGACCCACAGCUGGUGAGCAGCAGGGGAUGGAAUGAAUGCAGCCCAUCUCAGCGGUGCAAGCACUGUGCCUCUAUGUCUGACCUCACAAGGACACCAGUUUCUACAUCUGCACUUUCCCUGUAUGUUGCUUUAGGUGGACUUGUAGGAGAGAAAAUGUUUUUACAUAGUACCAGAUCCUAAGAGCUAAGCCUUUUCUAUUGUUGAAUACCUUUGGAUGUGAGUUCAUCUUGCCAGUCACUGGAGGAACCCAUGUGUAUCACAAGGCCAAACUCACUGCUUUUGUUAAAGCUACACUGCUUGGAGAAUAAGAAUGUAUAACAAUGGAAAAGUCUGUCUGGCACUGGGCAGAGAAUGGUCUAGAAGAGUUUGAGAAAUAAAUAGAUAAACAAAUAUAAAGAUAGUCAAUAUCUUCUUUUUAGGGAUUUGCAGUGUUUUAAGAAUGAAUGAUCUUAUUUAGAAUGACAUGGUCAGAAAUGUGGCAAAUGUGAUUCCAGGUGAAAGAAUUUAGCUUGUCAUCAGUAUUUACAACUGCCAUGGCCUGAUCAUGUCCUCAUCUCAACUUCAUACAUGGGAGUUCCAGCCCUGAUAUUGCAGAAAGCGACCUUACAUGGAAGAAUGAUCAUUGCACACAUAAUUAUACAAGACGAGGGUGGUUCCAAUCCAAUAUGUUUAGCUCUCUUAUAAAAAAGGAAACUGAGGCACAGACAGGCAUACAGGGAAGAUGAUGUGUGGCAACACAGGGAGAAGAUGGCCAUGGACAAGCUGAGGAGUGAGACCUAAAAUCAAAGCUUCCCUCAUAGCCCUCAAGAAGAACCAAGCAGCAGCAAACACAUGUGGCAGCUGUUACGAGUGAAAAUUCCCAGUAGGAUUUUGCAAGACGUCAUACCUGUACCAGGGCUGUCCAGCUAUUCUAGCCAGAAAAAAUCCUAGGAUGUAACCAGCUAUAGGAUAUAGUGUGCCUAUCACCCACAGUUUGGGUUCGAUGAUCCAGGC